rnacentral:rRNA from 1 species
AGUGAACGCUGGCGGUAGGCCUAACACAUGCAAGUCGAACGGCAGCACAGUAAGAGCUUGCUCUUACGGGUGGCGAGUGGCGGACGGGUGAGGAAUACAUCGGAAUCUACUUUUUCGUGGGGGAUAACGUAGGGAAACUUACGCUAAUACCGCAUACGACCUACGGGUGAAAGCAGGGGAUCUUCGGACCUUGCGCGUUUGAUUGAGCCGAUGUCGGAUUAGCUAGUUGGCGGGGUAAAGGCCCACCAAGGCGACGAUCCGUAGCUGGUCUGAGAGGAUGAUCAGCCACACUGGAACUGAGACACGGUCCAGACUCCUACGGGAGGCAGCAGUGGGGAAUAUUGGACAAUGGGCGCAAGCCUGAUCCAGCCAUACCGCGUGGGUGAAGAAGGCCUUCGGGUUGUAAAGCCCUUUUGUUGGGAAAGAAAAGCAGCAGGUUAAGACCCCGCUGUUCUGACGGUACCCAAAGAAUAAGCACCGGCUAACUUCGU